rnacentral:rRNA from 1 species
CACAUGCAAGUCGAACGGUGAAGCCAAGCUUGCUUGGUGGAUCAGUGGCGAACGGGUGAGUAACACGUGAGCAACCUGCCUUGGACUCUGGGAUAAGCGCUGGAAACGGCGUCUAAUACUGGAUAUGAGCUCUCAUCGCAUGGUGGGGGUUGGAAAGAUUUUYCGGUCUGGGAUGGGCUCGCGGCCUAUCAGCUUGUUGGUGAGGUAAUGGCUCACCAAGGCGUCGACGGGUAGCCGGCCUGAGAGGGUGACCGGCCACACUGGGACUGAGACACGGCCCAGACUCCUACGGGAGGCAGCAGUGGGGAAUAUUGCACAAUGGGCGGAAGCCUGAUGCAGCAACGCCGCGUGAGGGAUGACGGCCUUCGGGUUGUAAACCUCBUUUUAGCAGGGAAGAAGCGAGAGUGACGGUACCUGCAGAAAAAGCGCCGGCUAACURCG